rnacentral:pre_miRNA from 1 species
CUGGCCCUCAUCCAGUAGUGAAAUGAUCUCCCUGGGGCCUCCAAAUGUUGUAACUGAGUGAGUUAGAGAGAAAAUGCCAUACUUUGAGACAAAUUCAGGAGUCCUUUAUUUG